AUGAGAGGUGUCAAUAUUUUGGUCCAAAUGGAUGUUUUAGGUGGUUUUGGACUGUUCCGGAUGGGUGGGGGACCUGGUAUGGACAAGUAAGGGUAACAUUUCCAACAAAUCUUAAAUGUAAAUAUUAUUAUGUCCAUAGAUUGAAGUUUCAGGUGGAGAGCAAGAUGAAAAAUAUGCAAAAUUACAUGCAUGCAACCCAUUUAUGCCAUUUUCUCUUUGUUUGUAGGCCUGACCGUUUGUCCUUGAGCCGUAGAUGGUCAACAAUCCGCUAGCUGUCUUGCUCUGACUGGUGCACUGGACAUGAUUUCAAUAGUCAGCCAGACCAUGAUUGAGCUUAAGGGUUGUGCUGCGGAUGCAGCCUGUGCAGUUCCGGGAGAAAGUCACUGUCUCGGGCAAUGCGGUCUGGUAUCAGGUCUGGAUGAUCCUUGCCUGACUGCGGGUUUGUGUACACCUCAAUCCGACUCUGUGUCCUGAACAGAGGCCGCAGUGGUGCAGCGCUUGUGGACGAUCCAUCAACAUCCUGAAAGGUCAACACUACACCAAGCUGGGAAAAUUGAUCCUGAUAGUCAUCCCCAGGACUGACCGUUUGUCCUUGAGCCGUAGAUGGUCAACAAUCCGCUAGCUGUCUUGCUCUGACUGGUGCACUGGACAUGAUUUCAAUAGUCAGCCAGACCAUGAUUGAGCUUAAGGGUUGUGCUGCGGAUGCAGCCUGUGCAGUUCCGGGAGAAAGUCACUGUCUCGGGCAAUGCGGUCUGGUAUCAGGUCUUGAUGAUCCUUGCCUGACUGCGGGUUUGUGUACGCCUCAAUCCGACUCUGUGUCCUGAACAGAGGCCGCAGUGGUGCAGCGCUUGUGGACGAUCCAUCAACAUCCUGAAAGGUCAACACUACACCAAGCUGGGAAAAUUGAUCCUGAUAGUCAUCCCCAGGCCUGACCGUUUGUCCUUGAGCCGUAGAUGGUCAACAAUCCGCUAGCUGUCUUGCUCUGACUGGUGCACUGGACAUGAUUUCAAUAGUCAGCCAGACCAUGAUUGAGCUUAAGGGUUGUGCUGCGGAUGCAGCCUGUGCAGUUCCGGGAGAAAGUCACAGUCUCGGGCAAUGCGGUCUGGUAUCAGGUCUUGAUGAUCCUUGCCUGACUGCGGGUUUGUGUACGCCUCAAUCCGACUCUGUGUCCUGAACAGAGGCCGCAGUGGUGCAGCGCUUGUGGACGAUCCAUCAACAUCUUGAAAGGUCAACACUACACCAAGCUGGGAAAAUUGAUCCUGAUAGUCAUCCCCAGGUAGUGGAAUGAAUGUUCACUGAACUACAGAGGAAUCACACCCAAAUGACUUUCCUGCCACGACAUUAGUGUGGCCACUCGCGUAGGAAUUCCUUAGCAAACAUGCUCUUUUGCAUGGUGACUGUGGACAUUUUUGCAAAACUUACGAUUUCAACACUGGAUUUUAAAGAGAAUACUUAAUAAAAUGUCGCUAACAGGACUUAUUUAUAUGAGAGAGACUAUCUGGAUGCGCAUUAAGUGUCACUUUGUGUCGUAAGCUGUUGAAGGAGCGAUUUUCGCCUUUUUAAGUGUUAAUUUUGGGUAGCCGGCUUGUAUCGGCUUGAAAGCUGAAAAUUAUGCCUCUCAUCAUAAUAGCAUUAAUUUUUGUAAUUGCAAUGUGUAUGUUUAGAUUGUAAGUGAAGCUUUUAAUAAUAAUUUUCUUAAAAAACAUGAUUUCAUAUGCUGUCAGUGAGUUUUUUAUUGAAAAAAGUGCUUAAAAUUAAAAAAAAGUCUCCUAUUUCAUCAAGAAAAGUACACUGAUUCACAAUCAAUACAUUUAUUUGGGCCUUUUGCUGAUAUAUUGGUGAAUUUCGCAUGCAAUGAUACCAGUUUUUGCCAUGAAAGUUACGCGUAACAAUAAUUGGAGACGCAAAAUCAGCUGUCGUCACUUAGACUAAAAAUCAUGCAUUCCGACUUAACUGCGGCCAAUUUAGUCACCGCUUUAAAUGGCCAUUUUAAGGCCUUUACCCCCAUCCGAAUGCACUGAAAUUGCAUAUUCAUUGUGGAAAUAGUUGAAAUCUCAUGUGGAGAAAGUUUGAAAAAGAUAGGACAAAGUUGAGUUCCCUUAAAGGUUACAUUACACUAAAUCAUUGUGUAUCCCUCCGUGGUCCAUUCGAAAGUAGUGCCUAUUUCUAAAGAGUUCCUUUUCUCUUCUUGAAUAUAAGCCAUUUAACAAUGUGAGACAUGUCUUUUGUGGUUAUUUGUAAUAUCCUGUAUGUGUCUGGAGUACUUUGAUGCCUUGGAUUGGAAGCUAACUUAAAAGAUGAACUUUUGAGGGUGUGUUUUCUAUUGUGUGGGGCUUUUGUCGAAAUUAGGAUUCCGAAACACGUUUUUCUACGGUGGGUUCAUUCGACAGCGAUUUACUUUCUUAGAAGUUGCGAGA